GAUGAACGCUAGCGGCAGGCUUAACACAUGCAAGUCGAGGGGUAAGUCAUUUCGGUGACUGAGACCGGCGCACGGGUGCGUAACGCGUAUGUAAUCUACCUUUUACAGGGGGAUAGCCCAGAGAAAUUUGGAUUAAUACCCCAUAGUAUUAUUGAAUGGCAUCAUUUAAUAAUUAAAGUUCCAACGGUAAAAGAUGAGCAUGCGUCCCAUUAGCUGGAUGGUAAGGUAACGGCUUACCAUGGCGACGAUGGGUAGGGGUCCUGAGAGGGAGAUCCCCCACACUGGUACUGAGACACGGACCAGACUCCUACGGGAGGCAGCAGUGAGGAAUAUUGGUCAAUGGGCGCAAGCCUGAACCAGCCAUGCCGCGUGCAGGAUGACGGUCCUAUGGAUUGUAAACUGCUUUUGUACGGGAAGAAACACUCCUACGUGUAGGAACUUGACGGUACCGUAAGAAUAAGGAUCGGCUAACUCCGUGCCAGCAGCCGCCGUAAAAC
rnacentral:rRNA from 1 species